rnacentral:tRNA from 1 species
GCCUAGGUAGCUCAGUCGGUUAAGUGUCUGACUUUGGCUCAGGUCAUGAUCUCACUGUUCGUGGGUUCAAGUCCCACAUUGGCU